rnacentral:rRNA from 1 species
GAUGAACGCUGGCGGCGUGCCUAAUACAUGCAAGUCGAGCGAACAGAUGAGGAGCUUGCUCCUCUGACGUUAGCGGCGGACGGGUGAGUAACACGUGGAUAACCUACCUAUAAGACUGGGAUAACUUCGGGAAACCGGAGCUAAUACCGGAUAAUAUAUUGAACCGCAUGGUUCAAUAGUGAAAGACGGUUUUGCUGUCACUUAUAGAUGGAUCCGAGCCGCAUUAGCUAGUUGGUAAGGUAACGGCUUACCAAGGCAACGAUGCGUAGCCGACCUGAGAGGGUGAUCGGCCACACUGGAACUGAGACACGGUCCAGACUCCUACGGGAGGCAGCAGUAGGGAAUCUUCCGCAAUGGGCGAAAGCCUGACGGAGCAACGCCGCGUGAGUGAUGAAGGUCUUCGGAUCGUAAAACUCUGUUAUUAGGGAAGAACAAAUGUGUAAGUAACUAUGCACGUCUUGACGGUACCUAAUCAGAAAGCCACGGCUAACUACGUG